GAUAAACGCUGGCGGCGCACAUAAGACAUGCAAGUCGAACGGACUUAACCAUUAGUUUACUAUUGGAGCGGUUAGUGGCGGACUGGUGAGUAACACGUAAGCAACCUGCCUAUCAGAGGGGAACAACAGUUAGAAAUGACUGCUAAUACCGCAUAUGCCAUGAAUAUCACAUGAUAUAAAUGGGAAAGGAGCAAUCCGCUGAUAGAUGGGCUUGCGUCUGAUUAGAUAGUUGGUGGGGUAACGGCCUACCAAGUCGACGAUCAGUAGCCGGACUGAGAGGUUGAACGGCCACAUUGGGACUGAGAUACGGCCCAGACUCCUACGGGAGGCAGCAGUCGGGAAUAUUGCGCAAUGGAGGAAACUCUGACGCAGUGACGCCGCGUGCAGGAAGAAGGUUUUCGGAUUGUAAACUGCUUUAGACAGGGAAGAUAAUGACAGUACCUGUAGAAUAAGCUCCGGCUAACUACGUGCCAGCAGCCGCGGUAAUACGUAGGGAGCAAGCGUUAUCCGGAUUUAUUGGGUGUAAAGGGUGCGUAGACGGGAAGACAAGUUGGUUGUGAAAUCCCUCGGCUUAACUGAGGAACUGCAACCAAAACUAUCUUUCUUGAGUGCUGGAGAGGAAAGUGGAAUUCCUAGUGUAGCGGUGAAAUGCGUAGAUAUUAGGAGGAACACCAGUGGCGAAGGCGACUUUCUGGACAGUAACUGACGUUGAGGCACGAAAGUGUGGGGAGCAAACAGGAUUAGAUACCCUGGUAGUCCACACCGUAAACGAUGGAUACUAGGUGUAGGGUGUGAUAAACAUUCUGUGCCGUCGCAAACGCAGUAAGUAUCCCACCUGGGGAGUACGACCGCAAGGUUGAAACUCAAAGGAAUUGACGGGGGCCCGCACAAGCAGUGGAGUAUGUGGUUUAAUUCGACGCAACGCGAAGAACCUUACCAGGGCUUGACAUAUGCAUGAAAGUCUAAGAGAUUAGACCCCUCUUCGGAGCAUGUAUACAGGUGGUGCAUGGUUGUCGUCAGCUCGUGUCGUGAGAUGUUGGGUUAAGUCCCGCAACGAGCGCAACCCCUGUUCUUAGUUGCCAGCACGUAAAGGUGGGAACUCUAAGAAGACUGCCGGUGAUAAAUCGGAGGAAGGUGGGGACGACGUCAAAUCAUCAUGCCCUUUAUGUCCUGGGCUACACACGUACUACAAUGGCUAUAACAAAGGGAAGCGAGACCGCGAGGUGGAGCAAAACCCAAAAAAGUAGUCUCAGUUCGGAUUGGAGGCUGAAAUUCGCCUCCAUGAAGCCGGAAUUGCUAGUAAUGGCAGGUCAGCAUACUGCCGUGAAUACGUUCCCGGGCCUUGUACACACCGCCCGUCACACCAUGAGAGUUGGGAAUACCCGAAGCCUGUGAGCUAACUAUUUAUAGAGGCAGCAGUCGAAGGUAGAAUCAAUGAUUGGGGUGAAGUCGUAACAAGGUAGCCGUAUCGGAAGGUGCGGCUGGAUCACCUCCUUUCUAAGGAGAAACUUUAAAGGAUUUAUUGUUUAUUUUUCAAUGUACUUUAUUAGUACAUUAAAAAAAGAGUGAAGCUCAUCAAACAAAUGAAGACAUCGAUUAGAAAGAACUCUAAUAUAUGGGCUCAUAGCUCAGAUGGUUAGAGCGCACGCCUGAUAAGCGUGAGGUCGAUGGUUCGAUUCCAUUUGAGCCCACCAACUAAAAUUUCAUAUUUUAGUAUUAGCACAUUGAAAAAUAUAUAGAUGAAAAAAUAAGGUAAACUAGAAUAAAAUGAUAAAACAUUUUAGCAUUAGUAACAAAAGUUUUAGGAUUAAAAACUGAUUGACUUUAGUAAUAACACAGUAGAAACGAGCAGUACGAGGCAAUUGAGUGAAGAGGCUUGAGAUAGUACAUUAGUACAUCGAAAGUUGAUGAACGAAAAUUAACAAAGUAAUGCGAAGUUUAUACGAAGUUAUAAGGUUAAGCUACUAAGAGCAUAGGGUGAAUGCCUUGGCACCAAGAGCCGAUGAAGGACGUGAUAAGCUGCGAAAAGCUGUGGGGAGGAGCAAAUAUCCAUUAUAUCCACAGAUAUCCGAAUGAGGGAACUCAGCUGGUGGUAAAAGACCAGUUAUCCAUACAUGAGUAAAGUAGUGUAUGUGAAGGGAACGUAGGGAACUGAAACAUCUAAGUACCUACAGGAAAAGAAAGAAAACUCGAUUCCUUGAGUAGUGGCGAGCGAAAGAGGAAGAGCCUAAACCAGAAGAAGUAAUUCAUCUGGGGUUAUGGACUACAUAAUUGAUUCAGGAGAUUUAACAGAACUGUUUGGGAAAGCAGACCAAAGAUAGUGAAAGUCUAGUAUGUGAAAAAUCAAAUGACAUGGUAGUAUCCAGAGUAGUGCGAGACACGUGGAAUCUCGUAUGAAUAAGUGGGGACCACCCCAUAAGGCUAAAUACUACUUGGUGACCGAUAGUGAAAC
rnacentral:misc_RNA from 1 species